rnacentral:lncRNA from 1 species
CAUCCUGGACGUAGAUUCAAUGCCAUCAGUGUCACUGAGAGCUGCAGAUGAUAACUGAGCCUCUGGUGCAUAUAUACGGCCAGGUCAAGGUGAGCCAAUGUGCAUUGGUGGGUGGGGGCUGAGCAGGAGCAGCAGUGCCAGAGUAGAGGCAUAAGGAGAAGAAAACAAGAUAUUUUUGUGGAAGACCUAGUGUCAGAUCCAGGACCCAGUGUCAGCUCCUGGCCCUGCUGGAGCCAGGUUGUCAGAGAAAGGUCCUAAUACAUCAAAAAUCUACCCUUGGAAGCAUACAUCCCUGCUCAAACAUUCGAAAUACCAGGAUUUCACCAUGGGGCAGAUCGAGUGCAACUUCGUAGGAAUUCUUCCCAGGUGCUGAGGUUCUGCAGCCACCACCAGCUACUGGUGCUGGAGGGACACUUCCAGCAGCACCAGCGUCCCUCAAGGCACCUGGCUGCAGGAUUACACAGCAGUUGUGCUUGCUGACCUCGCAGGGGAAACCCCAGAGUUGGAUCCAUCUGACUCAAACCAUCUAAAAGGCAUAAAUCUAAACUUAGGGCAACACAUUUUAAAACCAUCCUAUUACAAAUGCUCAGCCACUUUGCUUCAAAACACUUCAGCAGUGCUGUAUUCAGUAACACAAAGAGCCAGGUGUUGUAAUGUCUGAAGUAAAAACUGCAAGGAAAGCUCAUGCACUUCUUUUUGUGUAGGUAAAAGCUGCAGGUGCUUGUGACAUUCUUUCUCAGCCCCUCAUCCCUUUCUCAGGAGAGCUGAGAUACCAUGAAUUUAUGCCUCGAGCCUGCAGGGGAUUUCCCACGGAAAUGACUUGCAAGUACUGUUUCUUCCAGAUGCGGUGAACAGAGGUUUUGAUCAUGAGACUAAUGCUCUCCUGGGCUUAGAGGGACUUUGCAACCAAAAUGAUGACUUCUGCAAACCUUUUCAGCUGCAGAAGAGCGAGCUGAAGGCAAAAAAUUAAAUGCUGUGGCAGCUGCUGACAGUCUUAUGUGAGUGUUAUGUGACAUUCUGGGUAGGUUAUGAAAAGCCAGAGGACUUCCACUGUUCGUCUAGGAUCUCUGUGGGCUUGGAUAUCUAGAGAAAGAGAAACUUGGGAGCAGAAAAGGUGAUAGAAAUGAAAAUAGUAUUCUAAGAGCAGACUUCAGCUUGUGCCUGCAGAGGGACACAAACAACCCCCGAAAGUAGAGGAGGUCAAGAACAUUCCUGCUGAAGGCUUUUAUGGAAACCUGCUGCUCCUGAGAACAACCUGGUGCUGUUUGGAGCUCUGAGGCUUCAACUCCUUUCAGGUGCUCUGUGCCUGUUGCAGAACGUAUUGGUUUUAUAAUGCCAUAAGUCUUCCCUUGAAUGCUACAGAGCAAUUGCCUCAAUCUGGAGGCAGAGGGAACCAAUUAUCCCAAUUCUGGCAGAUGUAGCUCCUUGCACAAAGUUGCAGCUUUUCAUUAUUCGGUAUGAUUUGAGCACACUGUGAAAAGUACUGCAGCUCUUCAGUUCCCUG